GAAGUAAGCAAGAGCACACGGGGGAUGCCUAGGGUCUCAGAGGCGACGAAGGACGCGA
rnacentral:rRNA from 1 species